rnacentral:rRNA from 1 species
AACUGCAAGUCGAACGGUAGCACAGAGAGCUUGCUCUCGGGUGACGAGUGGCGGACGGGUGAGUAAUGUCUGGGAAACUGCCUGAUGGAGGGGGAUAACUACUGGAAACGGUAGCUAAUACCGCAUAACGUCGCAAGACCAAAGAGGGGGACCUUCGGGCCUCUUGCCAUCAGAUGUGCCCAGAUGGGAUUAGCUAGUAGGUGGGGUAACGGCUCACCUAUGCGACGAUCCCUAGCUGGUCUGAGAGGAUGACCAGCCACACUGGAACUGAGACACGGUCCAGACUCCUACGGGAGGCAGCAGUGGGGAAUAUUGCACAAUGGGCGCAAGCCUGAUGCAGCCAUGCCGCGUGUAUGAAGAAAGCCUUCGGGUUGUAAAGUACUUUCAGCGAGGAGGAAGGCGUUGAGGUUAAUAACCUCACCGAUUGACGUUACUCGCAGAAGAAGCACCGGCUAACUCCGUGCCAGCAGCCGCGGUAAUACGGAGGGUGCAAGCGUUAAUCGGAAUUACUGGGCGUA